rnacentral:rRNA from 1 species
CCUGCCCAAGAGAUCGGGAUAACACCUGGAAACAGAUGCUAAUACCGGAUAACAAUAGAUGAUGCCUAUCAACUGUUUAAAAGAUGGUUCUGCUAUCACUCUUGGAUGGACCUGCGGUGCAUUAGCUAGUUGGUAGGGUAACGGCCUACCAAGGCGAUGAUGCAUAGCCGAGUUGAGAGACUGAUCGGCCACAUUGGGACUGAGACACGGCCCAAACUCCUACGAGGCAGCAGCG